UACGGAGGAUGCAAGCGUUAUCCGGAUUUAUUGGGUUUAAAGGGUGCGUAGGCGGCCUUGUAAGUCAGUGGUGAAAACCUGCAGCUCAACUGUAGGCGUGCCAAUGAAACUGUGAGGCUUGAGUGACGUUGAGGCAGGCGGAAUGUGUAGUGUAGCGGUGAAAUGCUUAGAUAUUACACAGAACACCGAUUGCGUAGGCAGCUUGCUAAAGGUUAACUGACGCUGAUGCACGAAAGCGUGGGGAUCGAACAGGAUUAGAUACCCUGGUAGUCCACGCUGUAAACGAUGAUGACUCGCUGUUGGCGAUAUACAGUCAGCGGCUUAGCGAAAGCGAUAAGUCAUCCACCUGGGGAGUACGCUCGCAAGAGUGAA
rnacentral:rRNA from 1 species